rnacentral:rRNA from 1 species
GCCUAAUACAUGCAAGUCGAACGCUUCUUUUUCCACCGGAGCUUGCUCCACCGGAAAAAGAGGAGUGGCGAACGGGUGAGUAACACGUGGGUAACCUGCCCAUCAGAAGGGGAUAACACUUGGAAACAGGUGCUAAUACCGUAUAACAAUCGAAACCGCAUGGUUUUGAUUUGAAAGGCGCUUUCGGGUGUCGCUGAUGGAUGGACCCGCGGUGCAUUAGCUAGUUGGUGAGGUAACGGCUCACCAAGGCCACGAUGCAUAGCCGACCUGAGAGGGUGAUCGGCCACAUUGGGACUGAGACACGGCCCAAACUCCUACGGGAGGCAGCAGUAGGGAAUCUUCGGCAAUGGACGAAAGUCUGACCGAGCAACGCCGCGUGAGUGAAGAAGGUUUUCGGAUCGUAAAACUCUGUUGUUAGAGAAGAACAAGGAUGAGAGUAACUGUUCAUCCCUUGACGGUAUCUAACCAGAAAGCCACGGCUAACUACGUGCCAGCAGCCGCGGUAAUACGUAGGUGGCAAGCGUUGUCCGGAUUUAUUGGGCGUAAAGCGAGCGCAGGCGGUUUCUUAAGUCUGAUGUGAAAGCCCCCGGCUCAACCGGGGAGGGUCAUUGGAAACUGGGAGACUUGAGUGCAGAAGAGGAGAGUGGAAUUCCAUGUGUAGCGGUGAAAUGCGUAGAUAUAUGGAGGAACACCAGUGGCGAAGGCGGCUCUCUGGGUCUGUAACUGACGCUGAGGCUCGAAAGCGUGGGGAGCAAACAGGAUUAGAUACCCUGGGUAGUCCACGCCGUAAACGAUGAGUGCUAAGUGUUGGAGGGUUUCCGCCCUUCAGUGCUGCAGCUAACGCAUUAAGCACUCCGCCUGGGGAGUACGACCGCAAGGUUGAAACUCAAAGGAAUUGACGGGGGCCCGCACAAGCGGUGGAGCAUGUGGUUUAAUUCGAA